CCUACGGGAGGCAGCAGUGGGGGAUAUUGCACAAUGGGGGAAACCCUGAUGCAGCGACGCCGCGUGGGUGAAGAAGUAUUUCGGUAUGUAAAGCCCUAUCAGCAGGGAAGAAAGAAGACGGUACCUGACUAAGAAGCCCCGGCUAACUACGUGCCAGCAGCCGCUGUAAUACGUAGGGGGCGAGCGUUAUCCGGAUUCACUGGGUGUAAAGGGAGCGUAGACGGCCGUGCAAGCCAGGGGUGAAAGCCCGGGGCCCAACCGCGGGACUGCUCUUGGAACUGUGCGGCUGGAGUGCGGGAGGGGCAGGAGGAAUUCGUGGUGUAGCGGUGAAAUGCGUAGAUAUCAGGAGGAACACCGGCGGCGAAGGCGGCCUGCUGGACCGCGACUGACGUUGAGGCUCGAAAGCGUGGGGAGCGAACAGGAUUAGAUACCCUUGUAGUC
rnacentral:rRNA from 1 species